UCCGACGCCGAGCCAUGAAUCCCUCCAAAACCUCCUCAAAUCCCUAGAAUCCAUUCCCAAUUCCCAAAUGCUCUCUACUCCAUCUCCAUGUCUCUCUUCUUCUCUCCGCCCUCAAUUCACCUUUCCAAUUCCCAUACCUCGUCAUUCAUUGCUUCCCAUUCGAGUUCCCAUCAAAUCCUUCAGAGCAGUGGCCCAGGUCCCUUCACGCCCGAAGAAGAAGGCGGUGAGCAAGCCCGAAGGACCGUCGGAGGCCGAAGAGCUCGUUCGGACACUGCUGAAAAAGGCCGAUGGUGAUGACAAGCGGCCGCUGGUCUCGACGCUUGAUAAGCAUGUUAGAAUUUUGAGGACUGAGCAUUGUUUCUUGCUUUUUGAGGAGCUUGGAAGGCGGGACCGGUGGCUCCAGUGUUUGGAGGUAUUCAGAUGGAUGCAGAAGCAACGAUGGUAUAUUGCAGAUAAUGGUAUUUAUUCCAAGCUGAUAUCAAUAAUGGGAAAGAAAGGCCAGACAAGGUCAGCUAUGUGGCUUUUUAGUGAGAUGCGAAGCAGUGGUUGUAGACCAGAUACUUCUGUCUAUAAUGCACUGAUUACAGCUCAUCUUCACUCAAAAGACAAAACCAAGGCGUUGGCGAAGGCUAUGGGGUACUUUCAGAAGAUGAAAGGCAUUGAAAGAUGCAAGCCGAACACUGUGACGUAUAACAUUCUUUUAAGAGCUUUUGCUCAGGCAGGGGAUGUAAAGCAAGUUGAGGAACUGUUCAAAGAUCUCAAAGCAAGCGAGGUUUCUCCUGACAUAUAUACUUAUAAUGGGGUCAUGGAUGCGUAUGGGAAGAAUCGAAUGGUUGCAGAAAUGGAAUCUGUGCUCCGGCUAAUGAAGAGCAAUCAAUGCAAACCAGAUGUGAUCACAUUCAAUCUACUAAUUGAUUCAUAUGGUAAGCGGCAAGCAUUUGAUAAAAUGGAGCAAGUAUUUAAAAGCUUGUUGCGCUCAAAGGAAAAGCCCACUCUUCCAACAUUUAAUUCAAUGAUAACCAGCUAUGGCCGGGCUAGGCUCAGAGACAAGGCUGAAUCGGUCUUCAAAAAUAUGAAUGAAUUGGGCUUUAAACCCAGUAAUGUGACAUAUGAUUGUCUCAUUACAGCUUAUGGAUAUUGUGAUUCUGUUUCAAGAGCAAGGGAAAUAUUUGAUGAGAUAUUAAAUACACAGAAGGAUGUGCAAGUUUCGACUUUGAAUGCUAUGCUUGAUGCGUAUUGCAUCAAUAAUUUACAAGGCGAAGCGGAUCAACUUUUGGGCCUUGCAUUGAGUAAAGGCUUAAAGACAAAUGCCUCAACUUAUAAACUGCUGUACGGGGCUUAUACUAAAGCUAACAUGAAGGAUCUAGUUGGUAAAUUGAUGAAGCGUAUGGAUGCACAAGGUAUAGUUCCAAACAAGAGAUUCUUUAUAGAGGGCUUUGGUUCUUCCAAAACGAGUUCCCGCAAAGUUGUUCCUGAACCCAGCAAAGUUGUUGAUUCAAGCACUCCACUAAUUGAAUCCAAAACAUAACCAAAACUUGUGCUUAAUACUUCCCAUGUGUCUCUAGCCUGUUUGUUGCUGCUGGUUGUGAUCUCUACAGUCAACAUAUUCUGUUGUGGUUGAGGGAUUCACAGCUAGAUGAGUCAGCAUCAAUACCAACUGGAGUAAAAUGGAUCGGAAUCCACAAGAUACAAGCGAUGUUUCUGCAGUAGAGGUGUGAAGAAGAUUCCAGGAGGCAAAACAGCAAACAAAUACAGAGAGAUCAGAGAAACAGAUUCCAGGAGGCAAAACAGGUCAGUGAAAAGUUUAUAAAUUAUCUCAAGAUCUGGUUUGUGUUUCUCAUAUUCCAUUGUCACAAGAACUGUAAGCUUGUCCACUGGAGUUAUCAUUUUUCAUUAUUGUUUCAGCAAACAAAUACAGACUUGCCAGAGUUUCUCUGAUUGAUUCCUGCUCUAAUUAACUUCUGUACAGAAACUUCUCAUCAUAAAAUUCCACUUACCAUGAAACUUCUGCACAGAAAUUUCUGUCUAAUUGACUCCUUGGUUUUCACUUUACUCUUUUUUUUAAUGAUUCAAUGUGACUUUUUUAUUUUUCAGGAAUCAGGAUCCUACCUUGCAGUUGCAGCUUGUUAAGCAA